UUGUGAAUUAGUAGAAACAAAAAAAUAAUAAUAAUAGAUAAUUAAAAAUAAGAAAAUAAUAGGUGUUACAGUUACAUUACGAGCACAACAUAUCUAAAUAGUAUCCAACACAUUGUUAAUUCAAUGGAAAAUUUCAGCCGGGUAUAGAUAUAAAUUUACGAGUAGUGACAAGUCUGGCAUAUCGAGAGGACGAACGCUUGUCGAGUGGAGUCAUGUCUGUAUGGGAGAAAUGAAUGAAAAAUCAGUGGAGGGCUUCAUCGACAAGUAUGCAUCGAGUAAAUUGGUUAUAUUCUGAAGAGAGGCCAAAUUAAGAGUAUCCGCUGUAAUCGGGUGCGCGCAUGGGGAGAGGAAAAGACAUAAAUCCGAUAAAAUGCCGUUAAUCAUCCACUGUUGAACAUAGGCCUUCCCAGUAGUUGCCACGCGGUUGCCAACCUACCUGCAAUUAGGCUUUGGUGAUGUUUUCAGAGAAACGCCGCUGCUCAUCCUUUGACCAUUAAGUUCUCUACGAAUAUAUGAUCUAUACGAAGCUCAAAUUUCUACAUUACUGAAAGGGCAAUCAUGGUGCUAUUCUGCUAGUUAUUAUGACAAUUACACGAUGAAAACUAAGAAUAAACAAGCAAGAUAAUUAGCAACUAUUAAAAGAUAACAAGAUCCGUUUUGUCAAUAGCAGACUUAAAAUCGUUUUAGUAAAAAAAGGUUGGAAGUUAAUAGAGAAGGUUAUCAAGGGUAGUACCUGUGAUGGAUACCUAGGAUGGAAGGAUGGACGGUACGUCAAGAUGGCAACUAGCCAAGAAAUGUUCCAAUCAUCGUUAAUUUUCUUCGCAAAAAAUAAAUUACGAAAUAAAUCUUAAAACUUAGAUAUAAAAUAUUUUAAUUACCCUCGUGGUAUAGCGAAAAAAUCUUUUUAUUUUCAUGCCAAGUUCUUUACAAGGUAGUUAGAGAGAUUCGAGUGCCUAAGUCCUCUAUUCUUACAUUGUACAUCUUUCAUCUCAUCGCAUAACAUCACUAUAAAAUAAUAUAUACGAAAUGAGAAAUUCGUCAUUAUAAAAGUUGUAUAAAAGUCAUAU